UACGUAGGGGGCAAGCGUUGUCCGGAUUCAUUGGGCGUAAAGAGCUCGUAGGCGGUUCAGCAAGUCGGGUGUGAAACCUCCAGGCUCAACCUGGAGACGCCACCCGAUACUGCUGUGACUUGAGUCCGGUAGGGGACCACGGAAUUCCUGGUGUAGCGGUGAAAUGCGCAGAUAUCCGGAGGAACACCGACGGCGAAGGCAGCGCCCUGGACGACACCUGACGCUCAGGCACGAAAGCUGGGGGAGCAAACAGG
rnacentral:rRNA from 1 species